rnacentral:rRNA from 1 species
AUUGAACGCUGGCGGCGUGCUUAACACAUGCAAGUCGAACGCGAAAGGGGGCUUCGGCUCCCGAGUAGAGUGGCGCACGGGUGAGUAACGCGUGGAUAAUCUGCCCUCUUGUUCGGGAUAACUGCUGGAAACGGCAGCUAAUACCGGAUAAGCUCCCCCAAUUGUAUGGGGGAGGAAAGGAGGCCUCUUCAUGAAAGCUUCCGCGAGGGGAUGAGUCCGCGUCCCAUUAGCUAGUUGGUGAGGUAACGGCCCACCAAGGCAACGAUGGGUAGCCGGUCUAAGAGGAUGACCGGCCACACUGGAACUGAAACACGGUCCAGACUCCUACGGGAGGCAGCAGUGGGGAAUAUUGCGCAAUGGACGAAAGUCUGACGCAGCGACGCCGCGUGAGGGAUGAAGGUUUUCGGAUCGUAAACCUCUGUCAGGAGGGAAGAAAGCGCAUGGCGCCAAUCAGCCAUGCGU